rfam:Tumebacillus flagellatus strain GST4 Contig078, whole genome shotgun sequence.
UAGGGUGCAAGUCCCGAAUGGCGAAGGCAACAGUAGNCUCCGGUCUGAGGAACACGAACCUCAUAUGAGGCUAGCGAUAGUUGGGUGAGCCUGCAAGACAAGGCAAAGCCCUUGUUGCCAAAGGCUAUCGAGAGUAAAUGAGGCAGAUGGAUGGAGGGAAAGACAGCGCU